GAUGAACGCUAGCUACAGGCUUAACACAUGCAAGUCGAGGGGAAACGACAUCGAAAGCUUGCUUUUGAUGGGCGUCGGCCGGCGCACGGGUGAGUAACGCGUAUCCAACCUGCCCAUCACUUGGGAAUAACCUUGCGAAAGUAAGACUAAUACCCAAUGACAUCCCACGAAGACAUCUGAAUGGGAUUAAAGAUUUAUCGGUGAUGGAUGGGGAUGCGUCUGAUUAGCUUGUUGGCGGGGUAACGGCCCACCAAGGCAACGAUCAGUAGGGGUUCUGAGAGGAAGGUCCCCCACAUUGGAACUGAGACACGGUCCAAACUCCUACGGGAGGCAGCAGUGAGGAAUAUUGGUCAAUGGGCGAGAGCCUGAACCAGCCAAGUAGCGUGCAGGAUGACGGCCCUAUGGGUUGUAAACUGCUUUUAUAAGGGAAUAAAGUGGGUCUCGUGAGACUUUUUGCAUGUACCUUAUGAAUAAGGACCGGCUAAUUCCGUG
rnacentral:rRNA from 1 species